rnacentral:tRNA from 1 species
CAUUAGCUCAGUUGGUAGAGCAGCGGAUUGAAAAUCCGCGUGUCCUUGGUUCGAAUCCGA